rnacentral:lncRNA from 1 species
GCAGCAGCGGCUUGGUGGAGCUUGUUUCAUCUCAGUCUUUUGACUGACACCUCCUCCUCAAAUAUUUCCAAAGGGCUCUCUGGGAAAACCUGGACCUGAUGGAGACCCAGGUUCCCUGGGCCCAAAGGGGCUGCCUGGGAAGCCUGGCUCGGAGGGGCCGCAAGGACCUGUCGGCACCUAUGGCUACCCAGGACCUGCCGGUGACCGCGGGAGGCCAGGGCGCAGGGGAGACAAGGUAGGGCUGGGAAAUCCAGCACAGCAGUGGGGGGUGAGCUGGGAUGGGAGUCCAGGCUUUGGAAGCAUUUUU